GUGCAGUUGCGUCAGCCAGGGACACUCAAUGUGGAGCCAGGGUAGUCUUUUUCCAGCAGAGCGGGAAAGUAAUUUAUUGGUUGAUCUUGAGAAACUAGGAGAAAAUGCGUGUCAGGCUGGCAGUUUCUCACAGUUGUACACGUGCAAGGCAGUCCAUUGGGUGACGAGACGCUGAUAUGACAACAAUGGCUUGUGAACCAUGAGGAUCUCAAAACUACAGUUGUCAAUUGGUUCACUUUCCAGAUGGGGAACCUCUAUGAAUAUGGGUUGCUGAGAAUAGAGCAGUUGUACAAGGAGCUGAAUGAAAUGCCCCACUGAAGAAGACAGUGUUGGACAACAGGAAGUCAUUAGUACCCUUACUGAAUGUCGAGAAAAUGAAGAACAAGGUACUCAAGACAUGGAUGAUGACAGCCUUCUUACUGCUAAGAGCACAGUAAAAGCAACAGGAAUGCCAGCGCAAGAGAACCAGUUUGCGACGCCAAUAGCAAAGAAAAGACGUAUUUGAAAACUUUUCAAAGCUGAGAGUGCACUUAAGAAAUAACAAAAAAUUGCUAUGGAUAGAUUAUCGUCUUCAAAAAAAGUAACUGACAAGCAUGAGCUGAAUGGCAAACAUAUUGCUCGCCGACUGAGAACGCUUCCUGCCUGAAGCUCUGCAAACUUGCAAGAAAAAUGCCAGAGUGUUAUCACCAAAGAAAAGCUAAAACACUUGCCGCCGGCUUCACCAGUUACUUGUGCAUCAGCGUACGGAGGUACAUCAUCGCACCUGUAGAUGAUGUGGAAGAUCUUACCAGUUUGAACCCGGACCUAUUCGCGAUUGAUGAUAUGGUAUACAGACAACUACAGUAGCUUCUCCAGAAAUAAAGACAGAGUUAACGU